UGUUUAUCAAAAACAUUGUCAUCAGAUUUGAAUAUNGGUGAUACGUCCUGCCCAACGGGGUAUCCUAGUGGCCGCGGUAUAUUGACCGUGCUAAGGUAGCGUAAUCAUUUGUCUAUUAAUUGUGGACUAGAAUGAAUGGGUAAACGAGAUCAUUUCUGUCUUUGAUAAGUAACUGGAAGUUAACCUUUAAGUGAAAAGGCUUAAAUUAGACUGUAAGACAAGAAGACCCUAUAGAGCUUUGUCUGUGUUAUGGGGGAGGAACUGUAGUAGGAUUUGGUUGGGGUGGUCUGGGAGUGAAUUGAUCCUCCCUUAAUUUGUUGAUGUAUCAAUCUUUUUAUUAAUUUCUUUUGGAAACGUGAAAUUAAGUUACCUUAGGGAUAACAGGCUUAUUCUCCUUGAGAGUUCAUAUUUACAGGAGAGUUUGGCACCUCGAUGUUGGCUUAGGAUUUCUUUAUGGCGCAGUAGUUAUGAUAGAUGGUUUGUUCAACCAUUAAAUUCCUACGUGAUCUGAGUUCA
rnacentral:rRNA from 1 species